UACGAGUGCCCCAAGCGUUAUCCGGAAUUAUUGGGCGUAAAGGGUGAGUAGGUGGUCAUAUUAGUCUUGUGUUAAAGCCUUCGGCUCAACCGAAGAUCUGCAUAGGAAACGGUAUGACUAGAGUAUGUGAGAGGUGUGUAGAACUCAUGGAGUAGGGGUGAAAUCCGUUGAUAUCAUGGGGAAUACCAAAAGCGUAGGCAGCACACUGGCACAUUACUGACACUGAAUCACGAAAGCGUGGGUAGCGAAUGGG
rnacentral:rRNA from 1 species